UACGUAGGGGGCAAGCGUUGUCCGGAAUCAUUGGGCGUAAAGCGCGUGUAGGCGGUUCAGUAAGUCUGCUGUGAAAGUCCAGGGCUCAACCCUGGGAUGCCGGUGGAUACUGCUGAACUAGAGUACGGAAGAGGCGAGUGGAAUUCCCGGUGUAGCGGUGAAAUGCGCAGAUAUCGGGAGGAACACCAAUUGCGAAGGCAGCUCGCUGGGACGUUACUGACGCUGAGACGCGAAAGCGUGGGGAGCAAACAGG
rnacentral:rRNA from 1 species